CCUGAUAUAGACAGUGAUGGUGUAGAGAUGACAGGAGCAGGUUAACAGCCUGAUAUAGACAGUGAUGGUGUAGAGAUGACAGGUUAAAGCCUGAUAUAGACAGUGAUGGUGUAGAGAUGACAGGUUAAUAGCCUGAUAUAGACAGUGAUGGUGUAGAGAUGACAGGUUAAAGCCUGAUAUAGACAGUGAUGGUGUAGAGAUGACAGGUUAAAGCCUGAUAUAGACAGUGAUGGUGUAGAGAUGACAGGUUAAAGCCUGAUAUAGACAGUGAUGGUGUAGAGAUGACAGGUUAAAGCCUGAUAUAGACAGUGAUGGUGUAGAGAUGACAGGAGCAGGUUAAUAGCCUGAUAUAGACAGUGAUGGUGUAGAGAUGACAGGAGCAGGUUAAAAGCCUGAUAUAGACAGUGAUGGUGUAGAGAUGACAGGUUAAAGCCUGAUAUAGACAGUGAUGGUGUAGAGAU